rnacentral:lncRNA from 1 species
CACUCACGUAGUCGUCGGUGGCAUCUUUGACGGCCGUGAUGGUUAAGACGAGAACCAAAGGCACGAUGGUGGUGAACCACGAGAGCGAGGAGAUCUGCGGGAUCAGCUGCAGGAUGAGGAGGAAAAGGAAAUAGGUGUUGGCCACUUCCUGGAACUGCUCAAAGAGGUUGACGGGCAGGAAGGUGACGAUGUUGUACUUGGAGGUCUUGAUGCAGUUGCUCGCAUACUGGAACUUCUCAUUGUACUCCCGUGCGUUGGCGCGUACCUGGCACUCCUCCUCUGGAGCCCCGCGGGCCGCGCAGCGCUCCAUGACCCCGCGGCCGCGCAGCCCAUGGGAGCGGGGCCGGGGCCGGGCCGGGGCCGCUGCGGCCCCACAGCCGCCGCCUCAGCGCCCC